AUUGAACGCUGGCGGCAGGCCUAACACAUGCAAGCCGAACGGUAACAGGAAGAAGCUUGCUUCUUUGCUGACGAGUGGCGGACGGGUGAGUAAUGUCUGGGAAACUGCCUGAUGGAGGGGGAUAACUACUGGAAACGGUAGCUAAUACCGCAUAACGUCGCAAGACCAAAAAGGGGGACCUUCGGGCCUCUUGCCAUCGGAUGUGCCCAGAUGGGAUUAGCUAGUAGGUGGGGUAACGGCUCACCUAGGCGACGAUCCCUAGCUGGUCUGAGAGGAUGACCAGCCACACUGGAACUGAGACACGGUCCAGACUCCUACGGGAGGCAGCAGUGGGGAAUAUUGCACAAUGGGCGCAAGCCUGAUGCAGCCAUGCCGCGUGUAUGAAGAAGGCCUUCGGGUUGUAAAGUACUUUCAGCGGGGAGGAAGGGAGUAAAGUUAAUACCUUUGCUCAUUGACGUUACCCGCAGAAGAAGCACCGGCUAACUCCGUG
rnacentral:rRNA from 1 species